rnacentral:rRNA from 1 species
AUGUCCUCCUGCAUCUCCUCCUCCUAUCACCACUGCGCCCGCCGCCUCCCCGCCCCGACGGCCCGGGUGCACCUCGCCGCAGCUAACUCGUGCGUGUCCCCUUACCACAGACGCGUCGGUUCCCUGAGGGCAAUGAGAGCCAAGGCGCCGUCGAGCGCGGCGCCGGUGUGGGAUAGGAAGGCCGCGGCGGUGCAGGCGGAGAUGGUAGAGGAGGCGGCCAUGUCGUGUGCCAUGCACGGACUCGUCGUCGACGACCGCGGCAACCCGUUGCAGGUGCCGACGAUGCCAGUGCAGAAGAUGGCGUCGAUCUCAAGUGGGAGUUCGACGAGGAACGUGGUCGUUACUAUGUGUCUUUUCCUGAUGAUCAGUAGUGGAGCCCAGUUGGGACGAUCGGGGAUCUAG